GCCCCGCAAGGGGAGCGGCAGACGGGUGAGUAACGCGUGGGAAUCUACCCAUCUCUACGGAAUAACGCAUGGAAACGUGUGCUAAUACCGUAUACGUCCUUCGGGAGAAAGAUUUAUCGGAGAUGGAUGAGCCCGCGUUGGAUUAGCUAGUUGGUGGGGUAAAGGCCUACCAAGGCGACGAUCCAUAGCUGGUCUGAGAGGAUGAUCAGCCACACUGGGACUGAGACACGGCCCAGACUCCUACGGGAGGCAGCAGUGGGGAAUAUUGGACAAUGGGCGCAAGCCUGAUCCAGCCAUGCCGCGUGAGUGAUGAAGGCCCUAGGGUUGUAAAGCUCUUUCACCGGUGAAGAUAAUGACGGUAACCGGAGAAGAAGCCCCGGCUAACUUCGUGCCAGCAGCCGCGGUAAUACGAAGGGGGCUAGCGUUGUUCGGAUUUACUGGGCGUAAAGCGCACGUAGGCGGACUAUUAAGUCAGGGGUGAAAUCCCGGGGCUCAACCCCGGAACUGCCUUUGAUACUGGUAGUCUUGAGUUCGAGAGAGGUGAGUGGAAUUCCGAGUGUAGAGGUGAAAUUCGUAGAUAUUCGGAGGAACACCAGUGGCGAAGGCGGCUCACUGGCUCGAUACUGACGCUGAGGUGCGA
rnacentral:rRNA from 1 species